rnacentral:rRNA from 1 species
GGAAUAUUGGACAAUGGGGGCAACCCUGAUCCAGCGAUGCCGCGUGAGUGAAGAAGGUCUUAGGAUUGUAAAGCUCUUUUGACGGGGAAGAUGAUGACGGUACCCGUAGAAUAAGCACCGGCUAACUCUGUGCCAGCAGCCGCGGUAAUACAGAGGGUGCAAGCGUUGUUCGGAAUUACUGGGCGUAAAGGGCGUGUAGGCGGUUUAACAAGUCAGAUGUUAAAGACCCGGGCUUAACCUGGGGGCUGCGUUUGAAACUGUUGGACUAGAGAGCAGGAGGGGAGAAUGGAAUUUCCGGUGUAGAGGUAAAAUUCGUAGAUAUCGGAAGGAACACCAGUGGCGAAGGCGAUUCUCUGGACUGCAACUGACGCUGAGGCGCGAAAGCGUGGGGAGCAAACA